CACGUAGGGCGCAAGCGUUGUCCGGAAUCAUUGGGCGUAAAGCGCACGUAGGCGGCCUAGCAAGUAGGGAGUGAAAGCCCUCGGCUUAACCGAGGAAGUGCUUUCUAAACUACUAGGCUUGAAUACUGGAGAGGGUCGCGGAAUUCCCGGUGUAGAGGUGAAAUUCGUAGAUAUCGGGAGGAACACCAGUGGCGAAGGCGGCGACCUGGACAGAUAUUGACGCUGAGGUGCGAAAGCGUGGGGAGCAAACAGG
rnacentral:rRNA from 1 species